rnacentral:rRNA from 1 species
UGCCAGCCGCCGCGGUAAUACGGAGGGGGUUAGCGUUGUUCGGAAUUACUGGGCGUAAAGCGCGCGUAGGCGGAUUGGAAAGUCAGGGGUGAAAUCCUACCGCUCAACGGUAGAACUGCCUUUGAUACUGGCAAACUUGAGUUAUUGUGAAGUAGUUAGAAUGUGUAGUGUAGCGGUGAAAUGCAUAGAUAUUACACAGAAUACCAAUUGCGAAGGCAGAUUACUAACAAUUAACUGACGCUGAGGGACGAAAGCGUGGGUAGCGAACAGGAUUAGAUA